UGUGGCUGUGGCAGGUUAGCAUUGUGUACAUAAUCGGUUUCUCAAAAAUACGCCUAAUAAGUGUAUUGCAAUUUUCAAUAGUGUAAUAGAGAAGGUCUUUUGGUAAUCUCAAAAAAAUUAAAUCCAAAGUCUGGUUCUCACCCUCAUUCCCUUCCCCGCUGUACCUACUAUUGGUUCCUGACACACUUAUUUUUCUUGUUAAUGUAUUCUCAUGGUCCUCUCUUUUGAGGUUAGUCCAUUUGCAGGAAUUUAUUCACUCCUGUUACUUAUGAAAAAAAUUUAUUCUUUCCUGUUACGCUAAUUUCUGAAUUUAUUUUUGGCAGGUUAAACCCUAAGCUGAAUGAAGCCAGGGAACGGGACCGUGUUCUUCACUUGGAAUGGGAAGCUGCAAAGAAAGAGAUGAACAGUUAAAGUGUCUAGUUGUGCACUUAUUUAUGAGGAUGUAGCGUUGAUCCUUGUAAAAAUACAUUUCCUAGAUGUAGAAAGAUACUUAAUUCUGUGAUCUUGUAUCAGAUCCCUGGGACAUGAUGUAUGUUUUCUCUCUCUUGGGAAUUGGUUCUCUAAAGAAGCGUCUGCAGUAAAUGCUAAUCUCCGUAUACAA